rnacentral:rRNA from 1 species
CCUACGGGUGGCAGCAGUGGGGAAUAUUGGACAAUGGGCGAAAGCCUGAUCCAGCCAUGCCGCGUGUGUGAAGAAGGCCUUCGGGUUGUAAAGCACUUUCAGUGGGGAAGAAAGCCUUGGGGCUAAUACCCUCGAGGAAGGACAUCACCCACAGAAGAAGCACCGGCUAACUCCGUGCCAGCAGCCGCGGUAAUACGGAGGGUGCGAGCGUUAAUCGGAAUUACUGGGCGUAAAGCGCGCGUAGGCGGUCUGAUAAGCCGGUUGUGAAAGCCCCGGGCUCAACCUGGGAACGGCAUCCGGAACUGUCAGGCUAGAGUGCAGGAGAGGAAGGUAGAAUUCCCGGUGUAGCGGUGAAAUGCGUAGAGAUCGGGAGGAAUACCAGUGGCGAAGGCGGUCUUCUGGACUGACACUGACGCUGAGGUGCGAAAGCGUGGGUAGCAAACAGUAUUAGAUACCCCGGUAGUC